rnacentral:rRNA from 1 species
UACAGAGGUCCCGAGCGUUGUUCGGAUUCACUGGGCGUAAAGGGUGCGUAGGUGGCGAUGAAAGUUCGAUGUGAAAUCUCCGGGCUUAACCCGGAAAAGGCAUUGAAAACUAUGUUGCUUGAGGUUUGGAGGGGGGACUGGAAUUCUUGGUGUAGCAGUGAAAUUCGUAGAUAUCAAGCGGAACACCGGUGGCGAAGGCGGCAUCCUGGACCGAUAUUGACGCUGAUGCGCGAAAGCCAGGGGAGCAAACGGG